rnacentral:rRNA from 1 species
UAGGGAAUCUUCCGCAAUGGACGAAAGUCUGACGGAGCAACGCCGCGUGAGUGAAGAAGGAUUUCGGUUCGUAAAACUCUGUUGUUAGGGAAGAAAAAAUGUAUAGUAACUAUAUACAAAAGAGACGGUACCUAACCAGAAAGCCACGGCUAACUACGUGCCAGCAGCCGCGGUAAUACGUAGGUGGCAAGCGUUGUCCGGAAUUAUUGGGCGUAAAGCGCGCGCAGGUGGUUUAGAAAGUCUGAUGUGAAAGCCCACGGCUCAACCGUGGAGGGUCAUUGGAAACUAAUAAACUUGAGUGCAGGAGAGAAAAGUGGAAUUCCUAGUGUAGCGGUGAAAUGCGUAGAGAUUAGGAGGAACACCGGUGGCGAAAGCGGCUUUUUGGCCUGCAACUGACACUGAGGCGCGAAAGCGUGGUGAGCAAACAGG